rnacentral:rRNA from 1 species
UGUCGCUCAGCUCGCUGUUGUGAAAUGUUGGGUUAAGUCCCGCGAACGAGCGCAACCUUAUNCUUUGUUGCCAGCGAGUAAUGUCGGGAACUCAAAGGAGACUGCCGGUGAUAAACCGGAGUGAAGGUGGGGAUGACGUCUACGUCGAUCAUGGCCCUUACGAGUAGGGCUACUACACGUGCUACAAUGGCAUAUACAAAGAGAAGCGAACUCGCGAGAGCAAGCGGACCUCAUAAAGUAUGUCGCUAGUCCGGAUUGGGAGUCUGCAACUCGAUCUCCAUGAAGUCCGGAAUCGCUAGUAAUCGUAGAUCAGAAUGCUACGGUGAAUACGUUCCCG